rnacentral:tRNA from 1 species
GGGGCCGUGCCUGAAUAAAAGGACUACUUUGAUAGAGUAGCUCAUGGGGGUUAAAAACCCCCCAGCCCUC